rnacentral:rRNA from 1 species
UACGUAGGUGGCAAGCGUUGUCCGGAAUUAUUGGGCGUAAAGCGCGCGCAGGUGGUUUCUUAAGUCUGAUGUGAAAGCCCACGGCUCAACCGUGGAGGGUCAUUGGAAACUGGGGAACUUGAGUGCAGGAGAGAAGAGUGGAAUUCCACGUGUAGCGGUGAAAUGCGUAGAGAUGUGGAGGAACACCAGUGGCGAAGGCGGUUUCUAGCUUAUACCUGACGCUGAGGCGCGAAAGCAAGGGGAGCAAA